UACAGAGGGUGCGAGCGUUGUCCGGAAUCACUGGGCGUAAAGGGCGCGUAGGCGGCCCGGUAAGGUUGCGGUGAAAGCCCGGGGCUCAACCCCGGGUCGGCCGUGGCAACUGCUGGGCUGGAGCACAGUAGAGGCGGGUGGAAUUCCGGGUGUAGCGGUGAAAUGCGUAGAUAUCGGGAGGAACACCUGUGGCGAAAGCGGCUCACUGGACCACAACUGACGCUGAGGCGCGAAAGCUAGGGGAGCAAACAGG
rnacentral:rRNA from 1 species